rnacentral:rRNA from 1 species
GACGAACGCUGGCGGCGCGCUUAACACAUGCAAGUCGAGCGAAGCGGCGGACGUGUGAGUAACACGUGAGUAACCUGCCUUAGACAUUGGGAUAGCCUCGGGAAACCGGGAUUAAUACCAAAUGGUCUAAGAUGGACUAGGGUCCCAUUCAAUAGUUGGUGAGGUAACGGGCCACCAAGGCGACGAUGGGUAGCCGGACGAGAGGGACGAACGGGAACAUUAGAACUGGGAAACGGUGCAAACUCGCCGGAAGGCAGCAGUGGUGAAGAUUGCACAAUGGAGGGAACACUGAUGAAGCGAGGCCGCGAAGACGAAGAAGUCGUGCGAGUCGUAAAGUUCUUUUAUAUGGGAAGCGGUACCAUAAGAAAAAGCCCCGGCUAACUACGUGCCAGCAGCCGAGGUAAUAC